rnacentral:rRNA from 1 species
CAGUAGCCGCGGUAAUACGAAGGGGGCUAGCGUUGCUCGGAAUCACUGGGCGUAAAGGGUGCGUAGGCGGGUCUUUAAGUCAGGGGUGAAAUCCUGGAGCUCAACUCCAGAACUGCCUUUGAUACUGAAGAUCUUGAGUUCGGGAGAGGUGAGUGGAACUGCGAGUGUAGAGGUGAAAUUCGUAGAUAUUCGCAAGAACACCAGUGGCGAAGGCGGCUCACUGGCCCGAUACUGACGCUGAGGCACGAAAGCGUGGGGAGCAAACAGGAUUAGAGACCCCCGUAGUCCCUGUCUCUUAUAU